GAUGAACGCUGGCGGCGUGCUUAACACAUGCAAGUCGAACGAAGCGCUUGAAUGGAAUUCUUCGGAAGGAAGCUCAAGUGACUGAGUGGCGGACGGGUGAGUAACGCGUGGGUAACCUGCCUCAUACAGGGGGAUAACAGUUAGAAAUGACUGCUAAUACCGCAUAAGCACACGUGAUCGCAUGAUCGAGUGUGAAAAACUCCGGUGGUAUGAGAUGGACCCGCGUCUGAUUAGCUAGUUGGUGGGGUAACGGCCCACCAAGGCGACGAUCAGUAGCCGGCCUGAGAGGGUGAACGGCCACAUUGGGACUGAGACACGGCCCAAACUCCUACGGGAGGCAGCAGUGGGGAAUAUUGCACAAUGGGGGAAACCCUGAUGCAGCGACGCCGCGUGAAGGAUGAAGUAUUUCGGUAUGUAAACUUCUAUCAGCAGGGAAGAAAAUGACGGUACCUKAYUWWRGA
rnacentral:rRNA from 1 species